CCUACGGGGGGCUGCAGUGGGGAAUAUUGCACAAUGGGCGCAAGCCUGAUGCAGCCAUGCCGCGUGUGUGAAGAAGGCCUUCGGGUUGUAAAGCACUUUCAGCGGGGAGGAAGGCGUUAAGGUUAAUAACCUUGUCGAUUGACGUUACCCGCAGAAGAAGCACCGGCUAACUCCGUGCCAGCAGCCGCGGUAAUACGGAGGGUGCAAGCGUUAAUCGGAAUUACUGGGCGUAAAGCGCACGCAGGCGGUCUGUCAAGUCGGAUGUGAAAUCCCCGGGCUCAACCUGGGAACUGCAUUCGAAACUGGCAGGCUAGAGUCUUGUGGAGGGGGGUAGAAUUCCAGGUGUAGCGGUGAAAUGCGUAGAGAUCUGGAGGAAUACCGGUGGCGAAGGCGGCCCCCUGGACAAAGACUGACGCUCAGGUGCGAAAGCGUGGGGAGCAAACAGGAUUAGAUACCCUUGUAGUC
rnacentral:rRNA from 1 species